GAGUUUGAUCAUGGCUCAGAUUGAACGCUGGCGGCAGGCCUAACACAUGCAAGUCGAGCGGAUGAGAGGAGCUUGCUCCUCGAUUCAGCGGCGGACGGGUGAGUAAUGCCUAGGAAUCUGCCUGGUAGUGGGGGACAACGUUUCGAAAGGAACGCUAAUACCGCAUACGUCCUACGGGAGAAAGCAGGGGACCUUCGGGCCUUGCGCUAUCAGAUGAGCCUAGGUCGGAUUAGCUAGUUGGUGAGGUAAUGGCUCACCAAGGCGACGAUCCGUAACUGGUCUGAGAGGAUGAUCAGUCACACUGGAACUGAGACACGGUCCAGACUCCUACGGGAGGCAGCAGUGGGGAAUAUUGGACAAUGGGCGAAAGCCUGAUCCAGCCAUGCCGCGUGUGUGAAGAAGGUCUUCGGAUUGUAAAGCACUUUAAGUUGGGAKGAAGGGUUGUUUCCUAAUACGAAGCAAUUUUGACGUUACCGACAGAAUAAGCACCGGCUAACUCUGUGCCA
rnacentral:rRNA from 1 species